GUCCACUGGCCUGGCUCCCCAGACUCCCUGUUUCAGCCAAACGCCACGCCCAAGGAUGUUUUUUUCUCCGCCAUGAGUCUAGAAUUAAGUACCCCCAUGUCCAUUCACCAAACACAUUCGGGGCCAUCUAAUUGGUCCAGAAACCAAUGGGUUGAGCCAGAGCCAGAACACAUGUGGAUAAAGCCGCGGUUUGAAAAUCCGUCAUUGGUUUUGAUACUCUGAUUGGUUAGAUACGAUGCAAUUAACUGAUGAAUUUGUUUUGUACACAAACAACUUCAAUUAUGGCAGUCUCAGACUAAAGUAUGUAGCGAACGACAGAGCAGUGGAAUAAUUUAGUGUGAGUCAUCAGGCUAUCAGUCCACUGCUACUUGUCACUCACACUGUCUCUGUCUGUCUGGGUGAUUGAUGUAGCUUUGAGGUUAGAGGGCUGGGCCGUAAGAAGCCCCCAAAUGAUUAUAUUAAAGACUCCCAGAUAAAUUAUUUUACAUGAAAACGAGUAAAAUCUGGUGUGGUUGAGAAAGAGCGAGCGAGAGAGACGACAUAAAUAACCAAUCCGGUACCUGUUAGAGCGUUGUUGACAGUUGAGUCGAUUAUUUGUGGCGGGGCUGGGUUAUUAUUUCCGAGUGUGUGACACAAACUGCUCGGUUGGCGUGGACCAUUCUACACAGCUGGAAAGGGAGACGGAGCGGGGGCGCAGCGUGAUAAAGGAAUGGGUGGAUCAGAUACAGAUAGAGCUGGUGACACUGGCAGACACCGCCAGUGCCAGGAAGAGCCUCACACAGAUCUUCCUGGACAACCAGAAUCUGUACACAGUAGAGUGUAACGAUGCAGAGGAACUAGUGGCUAGGGCAGCCAGGAACAUAGAACAGCUGUUACUUAAGAGGGCUGGCGCUCUGGAAGUAAGACACAGGGUUUCUAUGCUCCUCAUAUACCUCCAACAGCAAAGGCACAAUGACUAUUUGAGCUUUUGAAACAAGUAUGCUUGAGCGUUGAGGAUGCCACUGCUACUAUAAUGCACCACAAUGAAGUGGAGAGGGAUUGAAAUUAAUGACACAUUGACUCUUGGGUGUACGUAUCUUAUGGGGGUAAUCACAUGAAUGUUAGGUUCCACUUGUAGAAAACUGAGGUGAUAUGUGACAGUACAGGCCAGGACCAGGGGAUGGUUAGAAGACCAUGGUAAUGUGAGGUAGGUGCAGGUUGGUAACAGAGAGGAGUGCUAUACUGUAUGGCUGUACAUGUAUUUCUUUGAGCAGAAGUAGAUCAGAGACACAACUCUCAUCUUCCGCUGGAAUAUGAAGUAUGAAUAUCUUUUCUAUUCGAACCCUUUCUAAUAUACAGUGGGGUCCGAAAUUGACACCCUUGAUAAAGGCAAGCAAUAACAACAGUAUAAAAUAUAAAAUUCAAACACAAAAUUCAAAAGCUAUAUUGUAUGCAAAAAAGGUAAAUUAUAUAAUUUUAUACUAAUAGAUGUGUUCAGAUUAAGAGAUUUUAACAAGAAAUACCCCAAAAAUCUAUUUAUAAGAAGUAAGGGGAACUAAUUAUUUUUUAUAAAUAAAGUAGUCAAAAGUUUAAUAUUUGGUCCCAUAUUCGACCCUCUAACUUUCUCACUCAUCAUUAUUCACGAUUCGUUCAAGAUGAAUACGGAAUGAUUACAGAUCAUGCAGUCUCAUUCAAGGUGAGAAAUGCAGCAUGUCCUAUUGGCAAUAUAUUUGUUCUAUGUACUGAGCUGUGACGCAGCUACUCUCUCGUAUCUUAGCAGCCAGCUACACAGAUUUUUAGCUAGCUAGCUAACGUUAUAUCCCAACAACAUUGACGCUCAAUAUAUUUUUGUUCUCAGCCAUAUUCAAAAUGUAAUUAUUGAAAUUGUAUCUGUUUCGUUAGUUGACAUUGUAACAUCAACCUCUCCACCUGUAAUGGUUUUCUUCUGGGGAAAGAGAGGCGGACCAAAAUGCAGCGUGGUUAGUUUUGUGCGUCUUUAAUAAAGAUGAAAGUACAACAAUCUACAAAACAAGAAAUGUGAAAAAACCAAAACAGUCCUAUCUGGUGCAACAAAGACAGGAACAAUCACCCACAAAACUCAACACAAAACAGGCUACCUAAAUAUGGUUCCCAAUCAGAGACAAUGACUAACACCUGCCUCUGAUUGAGAACCAUAUCAGGCCAAACAUAGAAAUAGACAAACCAGACACACAACAUGGAAUGCCCACCCAGCUCACGUCCUGACCAACACUAAAACAAGGAAAACGCACACGAACGAUGGUCAGAACGUGACACCACCAUAGCUAUUCUAGUUACCUACAUUGGCUAAUCAAACCAAUGCUCAAAUUACAUACAAUAGCAUAAUGGCGUGACAAUUUCAUCAAACAGAAGUAGUAAUAUAUAGCUAUGUCUUACCUUGAUCAUUGGUAUUAGAUACUCCUUGGCCAUAUCUCCAAUAUAAUUUGGAGUCUCAUCACAAAGCGUCCAAUGUUGUUGCAGCAUUUUAGCCUGAUUUAUUCUCACUUUCUGACAAUUGUGUAAUUCAUAAACAACUUAGCUAUUGAAAUGGAAACAGCAGGUGAUGAGACCAAUUACAGAAAAUAUUACAAUACCAAAGCAUAAAAAAACGUAACAAUGUUUCACUCAAGUCAACCUUACCAACAUAAUUAUAAUACAUUCAUCAGUACUAUUCAUAUCAACCUUAGCUGAAACAAAGAUCAUUCACUUUUUUAAAGUGAUGAUGUAAUGGUGAAUGAAUCACACAUUGUUAAAUGUGGUCGCUGCAAGCUGUCUGUGUUUCCAUCCCUCUCAGUCCAAUCACCAAAGACAGCUAUAGCAGAGGGAGAGAGGUUAAAAACUUCUUCGGGAUCGGUGUCCCUUCCACGGGACGGUUGAGCUAAUGUAGGCUAAUGCGAUUAGCAUGAGGUUGUAAGUAACAAGAACAUUUCCCAGGACAUAGACAUCUGAUCUUAGCAGACAGCUUAAAUUCUUGUUAAUCUAACUGCACUGUCCAAUUUACAGUAGCUAUUGCAGUGAAAAAAUACCAUGCUAUUGUUUCAGAAGAGUGCACAGUUUUGAACAUGAAAAGUUAUUAAUAAACAAAUUAGGCACAUUUGGGCAGUAUUUUGAACAAAAAUGCAAUAGUUCAUUUGAUCAGUCUAAAACUUUGCACAUACACUGCUGCAUCCUCCUUCAUGCGAUACCCUUCCUGCAGGCUCACCCUGACAUGACCCUCCAGCAUGACAAUGCCACCUCCUCAUUCUGUGUGUGAUUUCCUGCAAGAUAGGAAUGUCACUGUUCUGCCAUGGUCAGCGAAGAGCCCGGAUCUCAAUCCCAUUGAGCAUGUCUGGGACUUGUUGGAUCGGAGGGUGAGGGCUAGGGCCAUUCCCCCCAGAAAUGUCUGGGAACUUGCUACCUUGGUGGAAUAGUGGGGUAACAUCUCACAACAAGAACGGGCAAAUCUGGUGGAGUCCAUGAGGAGGAGAUUCACUGCAGUACUUAAUGCAGCUGGUGGCCACACCAGAUACUGACUCUACUUUUGAUUUUGAACCCCCCUUUGUACAGGGACACAUUAUUUCAUUUCUGUUAGUCACAUGUCUGUGGAACUUAUUCAGUUUAUGUCUCAGUUGUUGAAUCUUGUUAUGUUCAUACAAAUAUUUACACGUUAAGUUUGCUGAAAAUAAAUGCAGGUGACGGUUAGAGGAUGUUGUUGAGUUUACAUAUGAGAUGAGUAAUGCAAGAUGUGUAAACAUUAUUAAAGUGGCAUUAAAGUGGCAACCAAUCACAAGGGGCAAACUAUUUGCCCUCCAGGACACCUACAGCACCCAAUGUCAUAGGAAGGCCAAAAAGAUCAUCAAGGACAACAACUACCCAAGCCACUGCCUGUUCACCCCACUACCAUCCAGAAGGCGAGGUCAGUACAGGUGCAUCAAAGCUGGGACCAAGAGACUGAGAAACAGCUUCUGUCUCAAGGCCAUCAGACUGUUAAACAGCCUCUAACACAGAGAGGCUGCUGCCUACAUGCGGACUUGAAAUCAUUGGCCAUUUUAAUAAUGGAUCACUAGUCACUUUAAUAAUGCCACUUUAAUGUUUACAUAUCUUGCAUUACUCAUCUCAUAUGUAUAUACUGUAUUCUAUACCAUCUAUUGCAUCUUGCCUAUGCCGCUCGGCCAUCGCUCAUCCAUAUAUUUAUAUGUACAUAUUAUUAUUCCAUCCCUUAGAUUUGUGUGUUUUAGGUAGUUGUUGUGGAUUUGUUAGAUUACUUGUUAGAUAUUGCUGCACUGUCGGAACUAGAAGCACAAGCAUUUCACUUCACUCGCAUCUGCUUUACAUGUGUAUGUGACCAACACAAUUUGAUUUGAUGCAAUGUUAAGCUAGUGGGUUUGAUUCCCGGUGGUACUUAUAUGUAAAAUGUAUGCAUGCAUGACUGUAUGCCUCCUUGGAUAAAAACAUCUGCUAAAUGACAUAUGUUUUCUUGUACAGCUCCUAUCGCAAUUUUGUCCACAGCUCAAGAUGCAGCGUGUGUGUAAUCUCAGUCCCCACAGUAGGGUGAAAGGUCCUUGCCAAUGACUAAUGGCCCAGUCCAAAACCUCACCCAGAGUAAUACCUCAUACACAGACGCAGUGUGUGUGUGUGCUUAUGUUCCUCUCUCUGUCAUAGAGAAGCUGGACCUCUGAGGUGUGUAGUAUAUUUUGUACUUUGGUGGCCUGAUGUCUGUGUAACGUUGGUUGGUCUGUGCCUGUCUAACUGACUUGGGUUUGUCACAAGAGUAUUUUGGGCUGCUGAGUUAAAGGCUUGGCUUCAGUCUCAUGGGAGUGAACCACCUGUCUAAUCAAAUUGUAUUUGUCACAUGCUUCGUAAACAGCGGGUGUAGACUAACAACAGUGAAAUGCUUAUCUGCGGGCCCUUCCCAAAAUUGCAGAGAGAAAAAAAGAGAAAUAAUAGAAAAAUAACACAAGGAAUAAGUCAACAAUGAGUACGAUAACUUGGCUAUAUACACAGGGUACCAGUAUCAAGUCGAUGUGCAGGGUUACGAGGUAAUUCAGGCACAGAAGGUUGGUAGCACCUUAAUUGCGGAGGACGGGCACGUGGUAAUGGCUGGAGCGGAUAGGUGGAAAGAUACCCAGACAUUAUUAUGAGCCAUCUGCCCCGCAGCAACCUCCACUGAGUUGAGGUAAAUACAGUGCAUUCAGGAAGUAUUCAGACCCUUUGACUUUUUCCACAUUUUGUUAAGUUAAAAUUGAUUAAAUUGUUUUUCCCCUCAUCAAUGUACACACAAAUACCAUAACCUGCAAAAACAGGUUUAGGCAUUUUUGUAGAUUUAUAAAAAAUAAAUUAAAAAAAGGUAAAUAUCACAUUUACAGUUGAGGUCGUACGUUUACAUACACAGUAAUACUUGUCUUUCAACCACUCCACACAUUUCUUGUUAAUUAACAAAUUAUCCUUUUGGCAAGACGGUUAGGACAUCUACUUUGUGCAUGACAAUUUUUCCAACAAUUGUUUACAGACAGAUUAUUUCACUUAUAAUUCACUGUAUCACAAUUCCAGUGAGUCAGAAGUUUACAUACACUAAGUUGACUAAGUUAAACAGUUUGGAAAAUUAUGUCAAUUAGCCUGAGUCAAUUGGAGGUGUAUCUGUGGAUGUAUUUCAAGUCUUACCUUCAAACUCAGUGCCUCUUUGCUUGACAUCAUGGGAAAAUCAAAC